AAGUCGUAACAAGGUUUCCGUAGGUGAACCUGCGGAAGGAUCAUUAACAAAUCGGUUGUGUGAGGUAUGAUAUGAGAAGGGGGAGUAAUCUCUCUUUUUAUUCAUCUCUCAAACACACAUUUACGCUUGUAUUGUUUGACAGAGUAAAAGUUAUAUUUAAAUCAGAGACAACUUUUAACAAUGGAUCUCUUGGCUCUU
rnacentral:misc_RNA from 1 species